rnacentral:tRNA from 1 species
CGGGCCGUAGCGCAGCUUGGUAGCGCGCUCCGUUCGGGACGGAGAGGUCGGAGGUUCAAAUCCUCUCGGCCCGA